GGGGAUUUAGCUCAGCGGAAUAAGCACCUGCCUUGCAAGUAGGCAGUCAUGAGUUCAAUCCCCG
rnacentral:tRNA from 1 species